AUGGAUGUUCUUGCGUUAAGGCGCAAUGGCUGUAUGGAUAAGAAGAACAAAAAGUGCAGUAUUCCAAUGGUCAAGUGUGCGGAGCAUAGGGCAAGAAGGAUAAGACGAAAGAGAGACACCGAGGCAGAUAUAAAGGAGAAGAUGCAUUCAUAUCUGGGAAUGUACAAGAAGUCACACGCGCCGAAAGUGAUUGAUCGGAGAUAUGUCCAGGCUACUAUUUGCGCAUUUCUUGGAAGGCUGCUCAUCGAUGCAUCUCCAUUUACAAGAGUUUUCAUGAUGUUGGGUAUGUCGUCUUUGUUCAGAACAAGGCACAUACGAUGGCUUAGACGGAGUGCCUUGAUACCUAUCUUUGUGGUUUUUGCUAGUUCUUUCUCAAUUAACCAAGCUUAUAAGGUUUUGGAUUUACUCUAA
rnacentral:rRNA from 1 species